UAACCCGCCACGCUUAGCGCGUGGGGAGACAGUGUCAGGUGGGCAGUUUGACUGGGGCGGUCGCCUCCUAAAGAGUAACGGAGGCGCCCAAAGGUUCCCUCAGAAUGGAUGGAAAUCAUUCGCAGAGUGUAAAGGCACAAGGGAGCUUGACUGCGAGACUGACAAGUCGAGCAGGGACGAAAGUCGGGCUUAGUGAUCCGGUGGUUCCGCAUGGAAGGGCCAUCGCUCAACGGAUAAAAGCUACCCCGGGGAUAA
rnacentral:rRNA from 1 species